GUGGCUGCUGAGCUGAUACUGUGUUGACAGAUACUACAGGCAAAUAACACUUGGUGUGAAACUGAAAGGUGGGAGCCCAGCUUCCACAUCAAGGCUUGGUAUUGCUGCUGCUGGCAUCCCUCUCUCUCUUUUCUCAUAAGAUGGCUCCUCCAACACUCCAGGACUAACCCCUUCUCAGUCAAGGGAGGGCCAGGCAGGGCCAUGAACCUAGCUUGCACAACGCUGCUGUCCUGAUUCUGACAGCACUAGCAGCCUCGCCCUCUUUGGCUGCAGCAAUGUGGUCCUGCCAAGAGUUUCUCUCUUUAGACCCCCUGCUGUUGUAGCCUUACUGUAUUCCCUGCUCGCUGAUGCUGCUUCUCCUGUCACCUCUCUACCCUAUCUUGAUACACCUGCUCUACUGAACAGCUUUAUGACACUUUCGAAGCCACUGCUAGCUAACUCCUGUUUCCCGAGAGUGCAGCGUGCCAGAACCGUGAGACAGUCACCUGUGCAUGAACACCGUAGCUCAGCACGAGUUUAUUACCCACCUUUGCUUUGUUUAGGUCUGCCCUGUCCUCCAGUGUUGACAUAGGGAUUUUUUCUGAAAAGGGUUACCCUUUUGUAAGGGAGCUGCACAUAUCAAAGGCAGAGUCUGGCAACUGUUCUUCAUGCAGAACUGGUGGCAUGUACACUCUACUGAAGUCAGCGGAGAGACUCAGUAUUCACACCAGUGGUAACUGAGAGAGAAAUUUGGCCCACUGAGUGGUAAGUAGUGAGGUAAAAAGUUUAGCCCAGGGAGCUGGCAGGAGUUACAGGACAAAUUCAUAGGUUGUGUUUUGAAGGAAGGUGUCAAAACCCACAAGGGCUUUAGAUGAUGAGAUGAAACACAGUGGUAGUUCAGUGAGUGGGCUAAAACACUGUUAAUCCUCUGUCAAUCCCCUGCUUUCCUCUCUUCAGCCACCGAUACUGGUCUGUAGUAGGGAUGGGUGGACUGCUUUGAUAAAAGAAGAGCCCUCCUACCCCUUUCUUCUGAACCAUAAUCUAUUUCUAGCACUGCGCCUAGUCUCAAAAAGAGAUCUGGAUUGCACUGUGAUGUAAAGUGCUACAUCUGCAAAUUGCCACAAGGUGACAGUGUUUCAGAGCAAUAUUGAAGCAUAAUUUUAUAGCUCCUUCCUGUUGUUUUUUCAUAAUGUAAAGUGAAACUAUGUCAUUACUGAAUCCUAACUAAAAUGAUCUGGUACCGCCAAAUUAUCACUAAGCAACAGUUGUCGAAAUGCUUAGGGUAAUUAAAGCCAUAAUUGUGUAAGUCUGGGGUAGGCUGCCUGAAAUCACCAUAGAAAUGAUUUUGCCUCUUCUUCAUCUGUCCAAAUUCAUUGUUCUUAAAUCAAGAAUGUUUGCUUCUCCUUGUGGAUUGCCUGUGAACGUUCCGGCUUGUGGGAUGUCGGACUCUGAACCUUGGGACUUCAGGAUACCAGUGCCUCUUAGAGCCGACAAACACCAUUUUGCAACACUCCUUGUUUAGAGCUGAGGUUAUAAAAGUGUCAUGUGACCCCAGCCACCUACAUUCCUUCUUUCCCAAGCCCAGCUGUGGAUGUAAGGACCUUCUGUCAGUGCGUGUAGCAACUUCUGAUGCACAACUCCCUUAAUUUCUAGUGUAUUAGGUACUUAGCUAGUUAGCAAAUAUUAGGUAGUUUACAUGAUUUGGCAUUUAGUUUAUUCUGGGCCUUGGGUCCUCAGAGCUUUCGGUCAGGGCUGGUCCAAUCGCCAAGGAAUCAGAUAAGCAGGGCAGAUUUAAGUAAUAUGCGUUGUGGGCCUUCACGUUCCCUAAGCAUAUUGAUUGUUUGUUCAGCCUGGGGGAAGAGCAUUCCUCAUAUCACUGCUUGGUGCAUAGAGCCUCUACACCCCAGUCCCACACAGACAGGUUGUGGAGGCUCUGGGGCUUCCUCACCAGCAGCCUCACAUGCCAGGUUGCUGGAUCCAAUGUCAGAUCAGCCAUCCGUCUCUAUGAAGGGACAGAGCACUCUAUCUUGGGCUUCAAAGUCAGGGACAGUCCUGAGGUCAAAGUCCACUGCAGAUAGAUCAGGUUCCAGUGCAGUAGUGUAGGACCCAAGUCUUCUGCAGGGGCUGAAAUCUCAUUGGCACUGAGAAGAGCAGCUUUAAGAAGUGAGCCUGCCAAUGCUAGAAUUUCACCAGUGCCAUGGCUGAUUUUUCACUUAUUCGGAACCCAUUGAUGCGGGUCCAUCGUUGGUGCCAUUUGCCCUGCAGGUAGCUAAGAAAUUGGAUACUAAGGAAGCAUUCACAGUGACAAAGAUUUUUCAGUGCCAAAAGCCAGUGGAGGUCCUCAUUUAAUCCCCAGGUGUUCAUCGAUGCCAAGGAAAUCGGUACGAGGUCCUUAUUGUGACUGUCACCUCAGUUUCAAGUAAUCCUCAUUUCAAGGACACUUCAGUGCCUCUCCACUGCCAUCAAACUAAAAAAAGUUUAAAAAAAAAAAAAGGACCAAGAGAUUUUUGGUAUUGGAGCUCUGGGCACCAUCUCAAAAGGGUGGGAGGAAGAAACGUCACUAUAGGUAUGUCUGUAAUGCAAUCCAAGGGGUGACUGCAGCUCGGGUAGACAUACCUGCUCCAGCUUUGCCUGGGCUAGCAUUGCUAAAAAUAGCAGUGUAAAUGUGGUGGUCCAGGCUUCAACACAGGCUAUACAAGCCCUCUUGGAACCGUGGGUACCUACUUGCAUCGCCAAAGCCUGUGCCACCGCAUCUCUGCUGCUAUUUUUCUCAGUGCUAGUGCAGGUAUGUCUACCUAUGCCGAGAUCACAGCGUGAGUUGCAAUAGAGACAUACCCUGUGAGACUAGGGACGUUGUGGCUGAGAUAUCUACCAUGGCGCCUUUGAUGCUGAGGGCUCCUGCACCUCUUUUCUGCCCCAACAUCUGUGUUUGGUGCAAAUGUCAGAAUGAAUAUUAGAGCAUCACUUUCUGAAUUCAAGACUGUCUGGAAGCAUGGCAUCCCUUGUCUCUGCAUUGCAAAUGCAAAUGUGUACAUACCAGGGACUAAUUGUAGUAUUUCAGCUAUUGUGGUGUCUGAUAGUAUGCGUAAGUAUCCUUUGUACAGAAUCACAUUCCAAGCUGCGGUUUCUCCUCUCAAAUGCCAGUUACGUUUUCUCAGGCAGUUUGAAACCAUGCUGCAAUGCUGGGACAGCUUGUUUCAUUUUCAAGGCUGCUCUAACUUGACUUUGGAACUGAUGAUACUUGAGCCAUUCAUUCUUUAUGCUUCAGUUCGCUGCUAUGAACUGUUGAAUGUAACACGAAGAUCUGUCCUAGAUCUAUGCUUCCUAUCAAAUUAAUAUAUAUCUCUGUAUCUUUUUUGAAAACUAGGGGAGUGUUUUGCACAGAGUUUCUCUGGAUAUGUCCUCUAGAAGAUUGUGAUCUGCUUUAAUAACUGAUUACUGUUGACAUUUUACAAUCUGUGGAACUUUUCACAUCCAAAAAUAAUAAUCUUUGUGUUUGAUAAAUUCAAGAUACAGGACCAGAAUCUCUGCUGGUGUAACUCCAUUAUCUGAGUGGCUUUAAGACAGCAGAGUAUUAAUCUCACAUUCUCCUGUGUACAUUAUUAAGUCUAAGGAUAUUCAGAAAAUGACCUUGUUUUGUGAUCUUUCCAUCUCAAGAAUUUCUUGAAUCUUUCUGGGGACUGGAUGAAUUCUUUUGUCACUGAGUGCCCAUUCCCUGCAUCUCCGUGUUGCUAAUUUCAUUGAACCAAUCAGACAUUUGUUUCAUUUUAAUUGGUUUGGUUUUGGUUUGUAGCCUUUUAAAAAAAAAUUAGCUGGAUGUUUUCCGAUCACCAAGUCCCCUCCUGUUAUUUCAACAUGAUGCUCUGAGAUACAACUUUUCACAUAGUCCUAAUAAUAAGUCUUUUAAAACAUUUUAUUCUGUUAUUCAGUACAUACUAACAAACAGCCAUUUUAAGGGAUUUAUUAGCAUGGGAAGAAGCAAACUAAACAAUCAUAAUUAAUUACAAGUUGGAGAGGCCUUUGGCCUCUGAUGGUCAGGAGGUGUCAAAACACUAGCUAGGGAUCAGAUGAGUAUGAAGGAGACCCAUCCACCCCUUCCCUACUUUUGUUCCAGCCACACUCCCUCCACUGACAGCAUGGUUGGGGGGAGGGUACAGAAGCUGCAACACUGUCUAUACCCCACUAGAGGAUUCCCCUACAAAACUGCCAGGGUCUGCUAUUAAUUAUUAUUAUUUUGUUUUAUUGUUCCCUUAUUUGUGUGAUAGUAGAACCUAAAGGGACCAACAAAGAUGCUAUACGAACACAUAGGAGGAGACAGUUUCUGCCGAAAAUUGCUUACAAUCUAACUAGACAAGAAAGAAGUUUGAGAGGGGAAACAGAGGUACAGCUAGGUGAAAUGACUUGGCCAGAAGGUUAGUGGCAGAGCCAAAAACAGAAUCCAGAUGUCCCAAGUCACAGUCUGGUUCCCUAUUCAUUGGAUUAGGUUGCUCAGUGUUAGCAGUGCGAUACCUAAGGGGGCACAGUGCAGAAUCUGGGCAAAAUCUCAUCACAGUUCUGUCUCAUGGAAAUUUAAAGCUGAAUUUUCCACUUACCCAAAAGGUCAGUGAAUACACUAGAUGAAAGUUGAUCUUCAUAUAUGUUCCAGCCAGAGGCGACGUGUGAGGAAGGCGGGGGGCAAGGGGGUAUGCAGGGUCACGUGCCCCUCCCCCUCAAUUUGCUGCUGGGUUUGUACUGAGCAUACUCACACAGACUGAGCAUGCUCAGUAACACUGCUAAAGCCAGCUGCCCUCACUGCGCCCCCCCCACCCAUCCGCAGCAAGGGUUGUCUCUGGUUCCAGUAUAAAAUACUUCAUCAAUAUAGAGUUAAGAUUGUCACAAUAUGUAUAUUACCAAACCAAACUAAUAUUAGAAUGCAGGGGAAAUUGGGAAACACCAUUCAUAAAUAUAUACAUUAAAAUAGGGAAACCUCAGACUUAUACUUUUGAAAUGCAACUUAAAGAUAAUUUUACGUUUUGGACAUUAUGUGCCAGAGCCUCACCCCAUCUGAGGUUCUGGCCACAGUUCUGUGGAUGCAAACUUUGAACUGUUAGAACCAAGCCACUUAUUAGCUAGAAGAAUCCUAAGGAAAUGCUAGAUUGCAAGUCUACAUUUCAGAAGAAGGACAUUUUAGCUUCUCCUUUCUCCUAAAGUACAGAUUUACUUCUGGAAAAUUAACUCUCUACUCAAAGUGUAAAUGGCUGAACUUUGGUGGGGAUACAUAUUAUUUUUCAUAUAUAACAAAAGAAUCUGGGCCCAGAUCUUUAAAGGUCUUUAGAUGUUGCUGUACUCACUGUUGCAAAACCUAAUUGAUUUAGGAGACUAAAUCGCUCAAACGUGAUUUAGGAGCUUAGGAGUCUGAGCACAGCAGCACCUAAAUACCUUAGAAGUCAACAUCCAUUGACGUCAGUGGGAAUAUCUUUAUUGGCUUUGAUGGGCAUUGGAUUUGGGCCUUGAUUCCCUGCUAUAAUUGCAAAUUUCAGUGCAACCUCUAGAAAGCCUCUAGAAUGAAGUAAAUGAGACUUUGGCAUGAGUAAAGUCUGCAGCAUGAGGCCCAUUAUUUUCUUAAAUAACUUAGAGUAUGCAAAAAUCCAUGACUCUUCAUUACCAUUUUCCCUCCCCAGCUGUGUGCCUAUAUAUUAUGUCUUUUUAUUUAGGUAAUUUGUGCAGUACACUUUUAUCAAAUAAUUGUUCGAAUAGUACACAGUUCCUUCUGGACUUUUCUGUUGAUUCUGAUUACUACCACAUCGACUGCAUAAAAAUGUUCCUUUACUGUAUAAUUAACUUUAUCUGCUUUGCUACAAUGACUUUCACUGUUGAUUACAUGCACUUCAGCUCUUUCACUGCAUUUCUAAGAAUUUAAGAAGUGCUGAUUACCCUUGCCCUGUCUAUGUCCAAACUGGAGGGUUUUCACAUGUGUACAAUUAUAUCUUUUUUUCCUUGCAACAUUCCUGCUGUAAUUUGGAUAUUGAUUAUACCAUGUACAACAGGAUCUUUAAAUAAACCAUCUGCUUGGAAUUCAUUGGAUUUGGCAUUAUUACACGAGCUGGAAGCAUAAUGAUUGCUUGAAUCACCAGGUUGCUGAAUUAUUAGUUUUACAAUUAAGCCUUUCCACUGAGAUGAUCUGAAAUGGAGAAUGGGAUUUGUGAAAUAUUUCAAUAUCUUUGUCCCUACUUUUGGUAUUUUCUAGUGCUUGAUUUAGGUUAGCAAGCUCACAUGCCUCUACUCUGACUUCAUGGAACAGUGUAAUCACCUUUGCCCUCUGAAUAUUUUUUCCUUACAGUUUGCUGCUUUAUUCUAGAUAUCAUUGAAACUGUUGUACCAUAUUUCCAGUUCUCUGCAACCAGGUUCCCUUCUGAGCUCAAGUACUUUGAGGGCUUAAUUUGUUUCACUGUUCUCUUUGCAAAGAAUCCUCUGCUCUUGUGGGGUGAAAAGGAAAACGAUGGAGGAGAUGAUCCUCUUGCAAACACCCAUGGUCAGUGAAUGAAAUUAUCAUAGGAUUUGAUCCUUGAAAUGAGAGCAGUCACUGCCUAGCUGGAGCUCCUACUCUACAAGCGUUUGGUGUGCAAGUGACCUGUUGUUGCCCUCCAGUGGAUAAAGAACCUGCUACUUACAUAACAUAACAGGACAUUAUGGAGUUCUUCAGCACCAUGGCUUUUACUCUCUAUCUGGGGUUUUGGCACUAAAGGACAUGGCUCUAGUCACAGCUGCUCUCCAGGUGUGAUUUAGAUAGAAUAGUCUGUCGGCAUCAUAUGCAUUUGUUACAAGCUUCCUAGAUAAUGCUAGAGGUCAUUUACCUUUUUCCCAGUUAGAAGGACCCCAUUAGAAUUUACUGGAGACUGGACAGAGAGUGCCUGACUCCGCAAAAGCAACACAUAUCCUUGAGAAAGUAGGGAGGAAUUUUUUCAUUUUAUCUGCAGAGUGGGUUUUUUUAAUAAGCUCACAAAGCUUUCUUAAAAGAAAAGCUAUUUUUUCCUCUGAAACAUUUUCAUUUCGUAACUGUGUGCAAUGUCUAACAUCCAGAAAAUCCUUUGCAUGAAAAUGUAGCUAAGAUGUUUCAAAAAGUGAAGUGAGCAGAGCUGAAAAAAAAAAAGAAAAAGAAAACCCUGCCAAAUUUUCUCUGUGCAUAGAGAUUGUGUGUACAUUCUGACCUGUCUGAACCAGAGCAACAGAUAAUAAUUAUAUAUGUGCAAAGGCUCUUUUAGACUAGGGCGAACAACAGGGAGAGAAGCCAAUCCCUAUGUCUCCAUAGAGCUGGAAGAAAUCUCAAAUAUUUCUGGUUGUCUGCAGAACAGCUGGUGAGUUCUCAUCUAUGAAUCUAAUUAAGCAUAUUCCUUGCCACAAACACUUUGAGUUCUAUUUUUGAGAUGCUGAAUGUCUCUCCAGAAUGUAUCCUGGAGCAUAUUGCUUUCAUACAGCAUGCUCCUAAUCCCCAUUGGAAGGCUUUUUUCUGUAGCAAAAUGAAAUUACAGUCAUAGGCUAAACUCAGAAUUCACCCAAGUAAAUAAUAUCGAUUGAUGUCUGGGUAUCAACAAAGCAUCAUGAAUUAAUGAUGGUUGAAUUUAAUGCACUGGACCAUGGAGGCUCCUCUUCAACCUUGGAAGAAUGAUGAGAGCCAAAUCCCAACCUUAAGGCCACAUUUUCAAAGUUUGUCUUGGUCCAGUGGUUAAGGCACUAGCCUAUGACUUAGGUUGGUCCCUGCUCUGCCACACACAUGUUGCCUGAUCUUGGGCAAGUCACUUAGUCUGCCAGUUCCCCACAGCAUUUCCCUACCUCACUGGGGUAUUAUGACGAUAAAUAUGCUACCAUUUUGGAGUGUUCAGAUAUUAUGGUAACGGAGGCUAUCUAAGUCCCUAAAAAGGAUAAAAAUUUUGCUCGCAUGGUCAGUUGCAGAUGCAGUGUUGUGGAGUUCUCAGUUGUGAGCUAGAAUGCAAGUCCUCAGAGGCCAUAAAUAAGUAAAUAAAUAAUUGAGUGCAGAUAUUCUAGUUCACUAUGAUUGUGCAUGUGUGCAAAAUGCAUCAAGUAAAUUAUCUGACUAGCAUUCUUUGAUCAGCUCUAUUGCCUGCAUGGCUGAAGACCAGGUAGUUAGACAUCUCUUACACUGUCUUUUCACCAGUGCAAGCUCACUGACUGUGGUCAGGCUACACUGACAUAAAACUGGUCAGGCCCCUUCUGGGCUGAAGCCCUUUGGAAAAUGUGGCCUCAAAUGAAACCAAACCAUAAGUACUUUACAUCUCUGUAGCAGCUUGUAUUAGAGGGUCCCAAAUCAUUAAUUUAUUCUGGGAUGCUCAUCACCAUAGUAUUUGUUUCAUAACUUCAGACUAACAUUACCCCUGUGAGCUAAGUAAAUCACAUGAUCCCCAUUACCAAAAAGUGAAACGAAGGCCCAGAGACAGGUAGGGCCUUACAGACACUCGCUUGCACAGGGAGAAGGCAGCGCCACUUUGCCUUCACAGAUGUACAUGCCCAUAGCUUCAGACCCUGUGAGGGAUGAAACAUGAGCUCCCGUCACCAGCCAGUCUGCUCCUCUGGAUGUGGUAUGGCAGGCAGGGGCAUGGCCCCACCGCUUCCUGCUCCGUUUGAGAUGGCUAGCACUAUUGGUCAAUAAAGAACUAUAC